AAGGAAGCAGAGAAGGCAGCUCGUGGGUGAUCAGGGAAAGAAAGAAAGAAAGAAGAAGAAGAAGAGAAACAAAAAUUGGGGCUUUUGGGGUUCUUGCUUUAAUCUUUUCAUUGGGGGUCAAAAUUCUCAAAGGAUAGCGUAUCGCUUGCUUAAAUGUUAAGAAUGGGCUGAGGCAGUGGAAAGUUUAGAAGACGUUGGGCAGAACUUUUGUUAGCAUACAUGUAGUUGUGUAUAAGCUACCUUGCAUCUAAUGAAAUGUGACUAUGAAUCUAAACUUGUGGAUUUUGUGUAAGUUAAUGGAUCCCUCAUGUAUAGGGUUUUGGAAUGUUAAAUUAAAUUUGUGUAAUGAUAUGAAGUUAUGGUAAAUCGUUGUUUGUGGUGA